rnacentral:rRNA from 1 species
AGUGAACGCUGGCGGUAGGCCUAACACAUGCAAGUCGAACGGCAGCACCGUAAGAGCUUGCUCUUACGGGUGGCGAGUGGCGGACGGGUGAGGAAUACAUCGGAAUCUACUUUUUCGUGGGGGAUAACGUAGGGAAACUUACGCUCAUACCGCAUACGACCUACGGGUGAAAGCAGGGGAUCUUCGGACCUUGCGCGAUUGAAUGAGCCGAUGUCGGAUUAGCUAGUUGGGGGGGUAAAGGCCCACCAAGGCGACGAUCCGUAGCUGGUCUGAGAGGAUGAUCAGCCACACUGGAACUGAGACACGGUCCAGACUCCUACGGGAGGCAGCAGUGGGGAAUAUUGGACAAUGGGCGCAAGCCUGAUCCAGCCAUACCGCGUGGGUGAAGAAGGCCUUCGGGUUGUAAAGCCCUUUUGUUGGGAAAGAAAAGCAGCAGGUUAAUACCCCGCUGUUCUGACGGUACCCAAAGAAUAAGCACCGGCUAACUUCGUG